AACAGCCAUUGAAGUAUAUCAUCAUUAACCCUGAUUCUAGAGAUAAAAAACUAAGUAUUUAACUGUACUUUGUGAAUUUCAUGGACUCUUAUUCUCUCACUGUCUAAAUGUGCUGUUAAAGGAACCCAGAGAUAUAAAAG